UAUAAUAAUUCUGUAUCUCUCACUCUCACUCACUCACACUCCAAUCCAUCAAUGGCGGUUUUUAUGGAUGUAUUUCACCGGCCAAUUAAACCAUUACUCACGUCAUCUUUGCCGUCAAUUUCCGCCGCACAUGAUCGGAAUUCUAACCGCAUUCUUCCUCAACUGCCUCUCCAUUCCUCUUUCAAAUCAGGGCAUGGAUGUUCAUGGAUGCAAGACAACUCAAGCUAUAAGGAUAUUGUAGCCAAUAAUGACAGGAGGCCUGGUCCAUUACAUUCAGUAUUUCCAACUAAACCUGCAGAAGUUUCCUCUGUGAAGGAUCUCUUUGAAUUUAUCUGCUCAGGUCCCCUUAUAGACAAACUUGGGUUCACCCCAGAGAUGAUAGCAGAAUCUAUAGACAAGUGGUUAGAAAAUGGAUCUCACGUGUGUAAAUUGUUUAAGCUCAAUGAUCUAUACCUGACCACACCUCAGAAAGCUAGAAUCUAUCACUAUUAUAUCCCUGUGUACUUGUGGUGUGACCAGCAGAUAUCCGAUCAUAGGUCCGCUUUCAAAGAUGGAGAUGACAUCCCUCCAUUGGUGAUUGGCUUUAGUGCUCCACAAGGUUGUGGGAAGACUACCCUUGUUUUCGCUCUAGACUAUCUUUUUCAAACUUCUGGGAGGAAGUCUGCAACUAUUUCCAUAGACGACUUCUAUUUAACAUAUGAUAAUCAGGCUAAACUGAGGGAAAACAAUCCCGGGAAUGCUCUAUUAGAGUUCCGCGGAAAUGCUGGAAGUCAUGAUCUUUCUCUGUCUGUUGAAACACUAACAGCUCUGGGCAAAUUGACCAAAGAAGGUAUGAAGAUGAAGCUACCAAGAUAUGAUAAAUCUGCGUACAAUGGUAGAGGUGAUAGAGCCGAUCCUUCAACAUGGCCUGAAGUUGAAGGACCUUUAACAGUAGUUCUUUUUGAGGGUUGGAUGCUUGGUUUUAAGCCUGUUCCUGCCGAAGUGGUCAAAGCUGUUGAUCCACAGCUAGAAAUAGUGAACAAAAAUCUGGAGACUUAUUAUGAUGCAUGGGAUAAGUUCGUGAAAUCAUGGAUUAUUAUCAAAAUUAAAGACCCAAGUUGUGUCUACCAAUGGCGGUUACAGGCAGAGAUUCAAAUGCGAGAAGCUGGAAAACCAGGGAUGACUGAUGAGGAGGUGAUGGAUUUUGUGUCAAGAUAUUUGCCGGCGUACAACGCCUACCUCCCUACAUUAUACACUGAAGGACCAAAGGGAUCCGACUCUAAACGCACCCUCCUUGUUGAAAUUGAUGAAGGAAGAAAUCCAAUCCUUGCUGGCUAGAUAGAGGUUCAUCGUGUCGGACUUUUGGCUGAUAAAAUCCGCUAGGUCCCGGUCAUAUAAACAGGAUGGUAAACUGCAGGGACUACUCUUGAAUAUAUUUAUGCUGAAAGGAUCAGAAGUAUUAGAAGAUUCAAGCUAAGGACUAAAGCUCUAAGGCGGUGAUAUAUUCAAGGGGUGUUUUGCAAAUUAUGAAAGACACAUUAUAUAUACACAGAUGGGUAUACAAUUUGUAUUCAUUCAGACAUAUUUUUUCAUUCGAUAAUCUUUUUUUCCCAGUAUAAGGUUUUUUAAUAUCUUUAUAAGAAAUAUCAUCUUGGUAUUCCCGUAAUCAAUCAAUUAAUAUACUAAUAAUAA